AGUGUCGUUGGGUAGGGGAGCGUUCUGUAAGCCUGCGAAGGUGUGUCGUGAGGCAUGCUGGAGGUAUCAGAAGUGCGAAUGCUGACAUAAGUAACGAUAAUGCGGGUGAAAAACCCGCACGCCGGAAGACCAAGGGUUCCUGUCCAACGUUAAUCGGGGCAGGGUGAGUCGACCCCUAAGGCGAGGCCGAAAGGCGUAGUCGAUGGGAAACGGGUUAAUAUUCCCGUACCUGGUGUUACUGCGAAGGGGGGACGGAGAAGGCUAUGUUGGCCGGGCGACGGUUGUCCCGGUUUAAGCGUGUAGGCUGGUUUUCCAGGCAAAUCCGGAAAAUCAAGGCUGAGGCGUGACGACGAGGCACUACGGUGCUGAAGCAACAAAUGCCCUGCUUCCAGGAAAAGCCUCUAAGCCUCAGGUAACAUCAGAUCGUACCCGAAACCGACACAGGUGGUCAGGUAGAGAAUACCAAGGCGCUUGAGAGAACCCGGGUGAAGGAACUAGGCAAAAUGGUGCCGUAACUUCGGGAGAAGGCACGCUGACACGUAGGUGAAGCGGUUUACCCGUGGAGCUGAAGUCAGUCGAAGAUACCAGCUGGCUGCAACUGUUUAUUAAAAACACAGCACUGUGCAAACACGAAAGUGGACGUAUACGGUGUGACGCCUGCCCGGUGCCGGAAGGUUAAUUGAUGGGGUCAGCGCAAGCGAAGCUCCUGAUCGAAGCCCCGGUAAACGGCGGCCGUAACUAUAACGGUCCUAAGGUAGCGAAAUUCCUUGUCGGGUAAGUUCCGACCUGCACGAAUGGCGUAAUGAUGGCCAGGCUGUCUCCACCCGGGACUCAGUGAAAUUGAACUCGCUGUGAAGAUGCAGUGUACCCGCGGCAAGACGGAAAGACCCCGUGAACCUUUACUAUAGCUUGACACUGAACACUGGUCCUUGAUGUGCAGGAUAGGUGGGAGGCUUUGAAGUGUGGACGCCAGUCUGCAUGGAGCCGUCCUUGAAAUACCACCCUUUAAUGGCUGGUGUUCUAACGUAGACCCGUGAACCGGGUUGCGGACAGUGUCUGGUGGGUAGUUUGACUGGGGCGGUCUCCUCCUAAAGCGUAACGGAGGAGCACGAAGGUUGGCUAAUCCUGGUCGGACAUCAGGAGGUUAGUGCAAUGGCAUAAGCCAGCUUGACUGCGAGCGUGACGGCGCGAGCAGGUGCGAAAGCAGGUCAUAGUGAUCCGGUGGUUCUGAAUGGAAGGGCCAUCGCUCAACGGAUAAAAGGUACUCCGGGGAUAACAGGCUGAUACCGCCCAAGAGUUCAUAUCGACGGCGGUGUUUGGCACCUCGAUGUCGGCUCAUCACAUCCUGGGGCUGAAGUAGGUCCCAAGGGUAUGGCUGUUCGCCAUUUAAAGUGGUACGCGAGCUGGGUUUAGAACGUCGUGAGACAGUUCGGUCCCUAUCUGCCGUGGGCGCUGGAGAACUGAGGGGGGCUGCUCCUAGUACGAGAGGACCGGAGUGGACGCAUCACUGGUGUUCGGGUUGUCAUGCCAAUGGCACUGCCCGGUAGCUAAAUGCGGAAGAGAUAAGUGCUGAAAGCAUCUAAGCACGAAACUUGCCCCGAGAUGAGUUCUCCCUGAGACUACAAGUCUCCUGAAGGAACGUUGAAGACGACGACGUUGAUAGGCCGGGUGUGUAAGCGCAGCGAUGCGUUGAGCUAACCGGUACUAAUGAACCGUGAGG
rnacentral:rRNA from 1 species